CGCGUAUGCAACCUACCUUUGACUGGAGGAUAGCCCGGAGAAAUUCGGAUUAAUACUCCAUAAUAUCAUCAUGAGGCAUCUUAAGAUGAUUAAAGAUUUAUUGGUCAAAGAUGGGCAUGCGUGACAUUAGCUGGUUGGUGAGGUAACGGCUCACCAAGGCGACGAUGUCUAGGGGUUCUGAGAGGAUUGUCCCCCACACUGGUACUGAGACACGGACCAGACUCCUACGGGAGGCAGCAGUGAGGAAUAUUGGUCAAUGGACGCAAGUCUGAACCAGCCAUGCCGCGUGCAGGAUGACGGCCCUAUGGGUUGUAAACUGCUUUUAUACGGGAAGAAACCUUCGUACGUGUACGGAGCUGACAGUACCGUAAGAAUAAGCACCGGCUAACUCCGUGCCAGCAGCCGCGGUAUUACGGAGGGUGCAAGCGUUAUCCGGAUUUAUUGGGUUUAAAGGGUGCGCAGGCGGAAUAGUAAGUCAGUGGUGAAA
rnacentral:rRNA from 1 species